rnacentral:rRNA from 1 species
GUGGGGUAAUGGCCUACCAAGGCGACGACGGGUAGCCGGCCUGAGAGGGCGACCGGCCACACUGGGACUGAGACACGGCCCAGACUCCUACGGGAGGCAGCAGUGGGGAAUAUUGCACAAUGGGCGAAAGCCUGAUGCAGCGACGCCGCGUGAGGGAUGACGGCCUUCGGGUUGUAAACCUCUUUCAGCAGGGAAGAAGCGAAAGUGACGGUACCUGCAGAAGAAGCGCCGGCUAACUACGUGCCAGCAGCCGCGGUAAUACGUAGGGCGCAAGCGUUGUCCGGAAUUAUUGGGCGUAAAGAGCUCGUAGGCGGCUUGUCACGUCGGGUGUGAAAGCCCGGGGCUUAACCCCGGGUCUGCAUUCGAUACGGGCUAGCUAGAGUGUGGUAGGGGAGAUCGGAAUUCCUGGUGUAGCGGUGAAAUGCGCAGAUAUCAGGAGGAACACCGGUGGCGAAGGCGGAUCUCUGGGCCAUUACUGACGCUGAGGAGCGAAAGCGUGGGGAGCGAACAGGAUUAGAUACCCUGGUAGUCCACGCCGUAAACGUUGGGAACUAGGUGUUGGCGACAUUCCACGUCGUCGGUGCCGCAGCUAACGCAUUAAGUU